UCCUUAAGAUAUGUAGGAGUUUUUCUGUUUCGAGUCUUCCUAGAUCUGCAUUAACUAUCACAGGUCGUUCAAGUUCUAAGUCUAGGAAUUCAUAUCUCAGAUUUUUGGGAAGUGUUUUCAGGUCAGGGGUUGGUUUGUUAAGACAUUGCGUGGGGUCCGGUGUUAUUGCUAAACAUUGGUUAGAUUUGUCUUCUAAAAGAUAGUCU
rnacentral:lncRNA from 1 species